CUCCCCAUCUCUGAGCUGCCAGAUGGAACCCACGUGCAGAGUGGCUGCAACAUGGAGAAUGGGUUGGAGGGACACAAGAGGGGCAGUGGAGAGACCACUUCAGAGGUAACUGUCAUGGUUCAGAGAAGAGAUGGUUUGGACUAGGAUGGGAUAGUGAAGAUGACGAAAACUGUAGACUCAAGAGGUACUUAGGAAAACGGAGAGAUACUGGUGGUGGUUUGGCCAUGAAGACUGGGGGACACAGGUGUCAAAGGACCUGCUAGGUUUCUGAGUUACCCAGCUGAACGGAUGGUGGUAUCUUUCCCUGAGAUGGUGAACACCAAAGGAUGACCAGGGUUGGGUGGAGGAGGGGAAAAUAUCCUGUUUGGCCUUAGUUAGAGGCUGAGGUGCCUUUGAGAUGUCCCAGUGAAGAGGCUGAGCACUUGGAUAUCAAGAGGUGAAUAAGCUGAAGAUACUUAUUUGGGAGGGAGAAAAGUAGAUGGUAGCUUGAGGACAUGGAUAAAACUGCCAAGAAGGAAGAGUAUUAAGUAAGAAAAGAGCCCAGCCUGUGUCUUAAGGACACUAAUAUUCAAUGGCCAGGUAAAGGAGGAUAAACCUGGAAUAGAGGGUGAACAGAGAAAGAGCAUUGUUGUGCCUUGCAAUGAAUGGAGAAGAGUGUUUCCAGAAGCAAGAGAAUGUUUGGAUGCUGCUGGAAAAUCUAAAAGAAGAGUAGAAUGAAAAAUGCACUUUGGAUUUAGUGUCCUGAAGGUCACCUCACCAGUGAUUUUAGGGAGUGCUGUUUCGGUGAAGUGAGGCAGGUAGAGGCCAGGCUGUCAUGGACAGGAGGCAUGUGAGGUGUGAGGAAAGAGACAGUGCUCUGGAGAUGUUUGACCAUGGUUGAGAGGAGGGUGGGGCAGUAGCUGCAGUAAGACAUGGAGUCAAAGAAAGGGGCUUUUGUUGUUUUUUAAGGUAAGUGAGAUUCAAGCAUGUUUAAAUGUUGAUAAGCAGAAUCCUGUUCAGAUGAGAGGUUGACAAUGCCUGAGAAAACAGGGACAACAAACAUAAAAGUGUUUUUGACAAACCAGGAGGGCUUGCCAGGGCCCCUCAGCAGGGUAGGGCUCAGAGGGAACAUCUCUAAUCCUUUGAAGCUGGCUCCUGGGCACUAGGCUGGCUGUGGCACUGCCUCUGAGUGCUCUAUAUGCCCCACAGCCAAGGCCAGCGCCCUUGGAUGGCCAAGUACAUGUACCUUAUGGAUCUUAUUCAACCCUAGUUGAGGAUGGCAGGGGUUAGAGAUGACUGGACAGACCAUGGUGGGCCAUGAUGUCCUAAACAAGGGUGCUACAUCCCUGGAAGAAGAGCCAUGGGCCUCUAGGCCUAUUGUGGACAUUAAGCCCAUUGCCAGUGACAGGAUGCCUGGAGCCCUGCUGGAUGACAUCCCUAAGUCCAGGGUCCCCAGAUUCCUCCAUUCCAGCUUGGCAAGGCCAUUUUGGCUCUACUGGCAUGGGACACUUCCAGGCAUACCACAGGGCAGUGGUUCUCAGAGGACGGCCUCUAGACUAGGAGUAUCAGCAUUACCUAGAAACUUGUUGGAAAUGCAAACUCUGAGGCCCCACCACAGAUCUAUCAAAUCGAAAACUCUGGCAGUAGGGUCCAGCAGUCUGUGUGUAACAAAGUUUCCAAGUGACUUUGAGGCACCACUUCUAUAAGGUAUCAAGCUGUUCAUCCCUCCAUUUGCUGUCCAUCCAGUAACCUAAAAUUCACACAUCCACCAAUCUAAACAGCCAUCAUCCAACUGUCCAUUUCUCAAUGUAAUUCAACCAUCUGUCUUAGUCAGUCUGAGCUGCUACAACAGGACAUCCACAGACUGGGUGGCUUAUAAUCAACAGAAAUGUAUUUCUUGCCGUUCUGAAGGUUGGAAAGUCCAAAAUUAAGGCACUAACAGAUCUGGUGUCUGGUGAGGGUCUGCUUCCUGGCUCACAGAGAACUAGCUAUCAACAAUCCAUGUUCACAUUCUGUCCAGCCACCUGUGCCUAUCUAUCUAAUCUGAUGUAGUCUAGUCUAUCAUCAGCCUAAAUAGUCAUCAUCCUAAACAUUCCUUUAUUUAUGUUACAUACAUCUACUCACUAUCCUCACAACUCAUUUAUAAUACAAAGGAAUGUCUAAGUUCUGGUACCCACCAUACCCACCUCCCCUUUCUAAGGAAAAUGGACACAAACAUUUCUUUCUGCUUAAAGUUUCAGGAUCAUAUCAUGUGUAUUAAGUGAAAUCAGUUCUAUUUCUCUGGGCAGCAACCCUGACUGGACAAGGGGCAGGUUCUUGGGGUUCCUCAACUAAAGGCAACUGUGUUUGUAUGUGUAUAAUCUUAACAUAUAUACACACACAUAUAUAUAUAGUAGCUUAUGUAUUACACACAUAUAUGAUAUAUUCUAUAGAUAUAGAUCUGUCAGACAUAUGCGUACAUAUAUAACUUCAAUAGCUUGCCAUAAAACUCUGCCCAAAUGAGGUUCUCUGUACUGGAUGGUGACAGACUUAGCCAGUCAUAAACAUUCUCUUCCUUCAUUUUCUUCCUUGGAGAGUGUGAAUGUUUGGUCUCACUGAGAAGUCAGGUCACUUCAAGCUCCAGUUCUAUCCUAACAAUGGUAAGCUAUGUUCCAGUUUUCAAUUAAGCCUGCUGAAUAUACCUGCCUUGAAAGAGUGGGAUUUAGAGUGACCUUACAGUUCAGACAGAAACAGCUUUGCUGCUGGGCGUGACUCUCAACCCUGCAUUUAGCCCUCAUUAUCCAAGACAAAUGUCAAGCUGCCUCUGCUGGAGGGUGGAGCUAGACAGCCACACUAUACCACGUAUCCUCCUUGUCCACAGCUGAUUUGAGCAGGGCCACCUCACCAGAGGGAGGUCGCACCCAUAUCCCAUCCAUCAGCAAAUCCUGAUUACCUUCAAAAUACGUCCUAAACUGGACCACUUAUCACUGCCCUCACCACUGCCACCCUGGUCCAAGCCACCAACAUCUCUCACCUGGAUUUCUGCAGUUGCCUCCUAAGUGGUCUCCCUGUCUGUCUCCCUUUCCCACCUUGUCCCUUUCAGUCUAUUCUCAUCACGGCAGCCAGAGAGGUCCUUUUUAAAAUCUAAGAUCAUGUCAUUUCUCUGUUGAAUAUCCUCUAAUGCCUCCCCUCCUUCUUGGAGUAAAAGUCUAAGUCCUCACAAUGGCUUGUAACACAAUUCAUGAUCUGUCCUCUGCUACCCGUCUGACCUCAUCUUCCACCAUCCUCCCCAUGUUCACACAACAUCAGCCACACCAGCCUCACUGAUGUUCCUCACACAGUGCCACACAGUUCCCACCUCAGGACCACUGCACUUGCCACGCCCUCUUCCUAGAGCAUUCUUCCCCCAGAUAUCUUCACGGCUCACCCCCUCAAUUUCUUCAGAUCUCUGCUCAAAUAUGACCAUAUCAGGGACACCCCCUCUGAGUAUCCUAUAUGCAGCAGAAACCCAACCCCUCCCCAAACUGCUCCCUGCUUUAUUUUUUCCAUAGCAUUUAACGUCAGCACACAUGUAACUGCCUACUGUCUCUCUCUCCUCAUUAGAAAGUAUGCUUCAUAAAUGCAGCAACUUUGUUUUGCUUGCUAUUUUUCAACACGUAGGAGCUUUGUUGAGGUACAAACAGUCACAUAAAUAAGCACUUGGUAAAAACUUGUAGAAGGAAUGAGUAAGAGUGGCUGAGAGUAGACCAUGAGCAAGAAAAUCGAGCAGAGGGAGCCUGCUGAGACAGGAAUGAGUACAGAGAAAUGUGAGAAAGAGAGGAACCUUGAGGUCCUCGGGAGACGGAGAGAAGAGCCACCGUUCCUGACUUUCCAGUUCCAAUCUUCAUGAGGCCUGAAUGUCAGUGCUCUCUGCAAGGUUGUCCACUGUAUUCUCACAAUUGUACUCCUCAUUCUUGAAAACAUUUGGAGUUUUCUUUGUUCCUUGCAACAAAAACAACCUUGACUUGAGCAGUAUCCUUCCAACCAUCCAUCCACCCAUCUCUCCAACCCUACAUGCCCUCCUAAUCAUUUAUACUUCUUUUUU
rnacentral:lncRNA from 1 species